UCUCAGGCUGUGACCCUCCAGAGGGAAGUACUUUCUGUUGUCUGAGAGAAAAGAAAGUGCUUCCCUUUGGACUGUUGCGGUUUGAGU
rnacentral:pre_miRNA from 13 species